rnacentral:lncRNA from 1 species
CAAUUUCGUUCCAAGUUUCUCCCACAAACUCCUCCAGAAAUGACUCAUAAACUUAGUGUCACGAUCAGAAGUAAUUGACUGUGGAACACCAUGUAAACGCACAAUCUCUCUGAAAUAAAGAUGAGCAAUCCGAGUAGCAUCCAUUGUCUUCCGGCAAGCCACAAAAUGAGCCAUCUUUGAAAAUCUGUCAACCACAACAAGAAUGGAAUCCAUCGCCCGCUGUGUACGAGGUAAGCCCAAGACAAAAUCCAUACUGACAUCAAACCAAGGAGCUUCAGGUACGGGUAAUGGUGUGUACAAUCCAGCAUUAGUAAGAGCCCCUUUAGACCGCUGACAUACAUAACACCGCUCCACAUAAUGCGCCACAUCACUGCUCAACUUGGGCCAGUAAUAAUCAGAAGAGACCAAUGCCAAUGUCUUGUCUCGCCCAAAAUGUCCUUCGUUAUGAAGUUCACUAAUAAUCUGCUGCCUUAGUGAACAAUCCGGAAUGCAUAACUGCAAUCCACGAAACAGGUAACCAUUAUGUAAAACAAAAUCAUGUCGGUGAUUAUCAGUUACCUCCCGAAUUAUCUUCCCAAAUGAAGGAUCCGCAGCAUACAUAUCAGGAAAUGCCUCAAAUCCGACAAUCUUGGUGCUCAUGGUGGUGAGGAGUAAUGUGCGACGGCUCAAUGCAUCUGCUACUCGAUUCAAACUCCCUGCUUGAUGCCUGAGUGUGAAAGUAAACUCCUGCAAGUACGCCACCCACUUUGCAUGUCGCCUACUCAGCUUGUGCUGACCAUUGAUGUACUUCAAAGCCUCAUGAUCAGUAACAAGGAUGAACUCCCUCUGUACCAGGUAAUGGCGCCAAUGCUUCAGAGUCUGAACUAUGGCAUAGAACUCCAGGUCAUAAGUGGAAUAAUUUUUCUUUGAUCCCGAUAGCUUCUCACUAAAAAAGGCUACUGGACGUCCCUCCUGACUCAGAACACCACCAAUGCCAACUCCAGACGCAUCACAGUUUACCUCG